UCCCUGGCUCGCCGGCUGGCGUCGCCACCGCCUCCUCGUCCCCGGCCACCGCUGUCGCCGCUGCUGCAAUUCAAGGCGCACACUAUUCCACUUUCCCGCUGGAGGCGCAGAGGAUGCCCCUUGAGCCAGACCUGGAGAAAUAGCCCCAGGGCCCGGCAGGAGGAGCCUUGGUGGCGAGAAAGGAAAUCCAGGCUCCUCUUUCCUUAAAGCCACUGCAGCAGCUGGGAAGGCGCCCACAGAGCGGGCGCGCCAAGCGGGACGCGGGAGUCGCAGAGAGGGACCCGAGGCGCCUGCUGAGCUCCGCUGGCAGAGUUUGCAAGUGGCAGACCCUUCAGUUUAUAGUCUACUGAGGUGAUUAAACAGCUGGAUUAAGAGUUUCCAUCCUGGAGUCAAACAGACUGAAUUCGAAUCCCCAUUUCACCUCUAACCAGCUGUGUGACCUUGGGCAAGUUACUUCCCUUCUCUGGGCUUGAGUGUACCUGCUUGUACACUGAAGUACAAGGAGGCAUCCCUGAGUCCUGAUGCCUGACUGGAUGGAGGCCCACCAGCUUCUGUUCC
rnacentral:sRNA from 1 species